CAUGCCUAACACAUGCAAGUCGAACGGCAGCACAGCAGUAGCAAUACUGUGGGUGGCGAGUGGCGGACGGGUGAGGAAUACAUCGGAAUUUGCCCUGUCGUGGGGGAUAACGUAGGGAAACUUACGCUAAUACCGCAUACGACCUAACGGUGAAAGCGGGGGAUCGCAAGACCUCGCGCGGCUGGAGAAGCCGAUGUCAGAUUAGCUAGUUGGCGGGGUAAAGGCCCACCAAGGCGACGAUCUGUAGCUGGUCUGAGAGGAUGAUCAGCCACACUGGGACUGAGACACGGCCCAGACUCCUACGGGAGGCAGCAGUGGGGAAUAUUGGACAAUGGGCGCAAGCCUGAUCCAGCAAUGCCGCGUGUGUGAAGAAGGCCUUCGGGUUGUAAAGCACUUUUAUCUGGAGCGAAAUCUGCAGGGCUAAUACCCAUGCAGUCUGACGG
rnacentral:rRNA from 1 species